rnacentral:lncRNA from 1 species
AUGGGGACAGGCUGCCUCGGGCCCGGACACGAGGACACCACGGCACGGCGCGUCCCGGUGUGCCCCCUCCAAGCGUCCCCGCACCGCAGCCAUCGCCCCCUCCCCGCGUGGUGCCCGCGUGCCGGCGAUUACCGCAGGAAGAGCUGUAACGCUACAGCGAGCCUCGGCGCUCAGCCCCGCUACAAAUCAGGGUCAGGCAGCAGCGCUGUUCGACAGAGCCCGCCACGACGUGCUCCUGCUCCUAAUGCCUUCCCCGGCGCGCGGCGGGGACGCGGAGCAGAGCGAGACGGGGCCGAGCGCGGCCCCCGGGGGUGUUUUCUCUUCCGUUUGCUCCGGUUUUACCUUUCUACAGCUGCGAAUGCGGUUACAACACGUUUGCUGAGCCUAUUUUUAGAGCGGCACGUCGUUUUUUUCUCCGUCGUGAGACAGGAAAUGCUGAUGGGGCCGACGGCCGCGGGGCCACUCGCUCCUCCCCGGAUGGUGCCUUUGAGCAGCACCGUGCUCGCGCUCUGCACCCCCAGAGCACCCAACACAGGGAGAAGCUCCCAGCCCCCACAGCUCUUUGCUCUCCCCAUAGAACCAGCAGGUUGCUGCAAGCCCGCUCCGUGCCUCAGUUUCCCCACUGCAACCCUCAGAGUAGAGACAACGACCCAUGAGCACGGACACGGCAAUGAGGCAGCACCUAGGCCCGGGGCUGCGCGCUGCUUUCCCCGCGCGUUUCCCCAUUGCCACCAUCCCACACACCCACACAUCCAAAGAAACAACCCGGAGCUGCUGAGCACCGGCCCCUGCGCCGCGUGCCACCGCCCGUGCCUGGCUCCGAGCGCGGUGUCGGCAGCCAGCGAGCGCGGCCGCGCGGGUACCCGCUGUUUGAAUGUCAACACCUCAUUUAUACAUCUUGAUUGGCUCUCAUCAGCCAGUCAGAACGGCGGCUGCGGUGCUGGCAAGGGUAGCAGCUCCGCUCCGACACCGUCAGCGAGGGGACAGGAGAGGGAGGGGAGAGAAAAAAAGCCAGAGCAGCAGCCAGACAGCUGCCUCUUCCUCCUCCUCCUUUUGUGCAGAAAUGUGUUUUUGUUUGUCAGUCAAACAGAUUGUUUUCUCCUUCUUUGCAGGCCAAUUGUUUCUGCUCCUGCAAGAUAAGGGAUUGAAAAGGGCUAUAUUUUUAUGGCACCGAAUCCAGGCCCUCCGAAUUGGAGGGGAGACAUCAAGUGGGAGGAGAUUCCUGUUCAAACCAGCGCUCCUCUCCCCCCUUCCACUCUCCAAUCCUAUUUCCACCCCCAUUUUCCCUUUCUCUCCUUCCUCCUCCCGCCUGGAGCUGCCUCUCAGCCCUUCGCUAUUUAAUCUCCGCGUCUCUGGUGGGCUUGGGAGCUUGACGCAGCUCCGUCCUCUUUGCACCAUCUGCUGAAAAAAGCCCUUCUGUCCCCAGCGCUCUGUCCAGCCUUCCCCGAGAAAGGGAGAGCGGAGCUGCUGAGUGUCCGGAGGAACAAAAUCCAGGAGAAGGUUUCCUUAUCUGCAUAGGUUUUGCCCCAAAAGCACCUUGGAGCAUGCCCCCAAGCCAUGUCCUUGGAGCAGGUCACCAAGCCAGGUCCCUGGUCCAUCUGGCUGGAGGUGAUGGGGAUGCUGCGUCCCGAGAUGAUGGGAAUGCUGUCCCAAGCACAACCCCCUGCUCCCAUGUCCAACACCAAGGACCAGAGCGUGGUGUUGCCUCCUGUCCUGGAGGGGUGGGAUCCUGGGAGGGGGCAGCACAGCUCAUACCCAGCUCCUAAGCCUCCCAGAGCUCAGGCUUGAGGACCGAGAUCCACUCAAUUAAUUUUGCUUUGGCAAAAAGUCCAUUUUUAUUGCUAUUUCAUGCCUUCAGUAUAGAUUUUCCCUGCUCGUCUCAAAGGGAUAAUAAAACCCGACUCGUUCUUUUUAUAAAAGUCUCA